GAAGCCCUGCCAGUGACACCAUGCAUCAUUGUUUGUGGCUCCUCCUGCUACACAUCAAGACUUUUCAUGCUGAGUGUUGACCACAAAGUUGUGAAUGACCAUAUAACAGACUUCAUCUCUGCAAUCUGUCUGAUGCUUGGAAGCUACUACUGCCUUAACAUCCACUAUCCAGUGAAACUUGGCUCCACACUUGAGUUCCUUCAGAGAUAAUUUAUUUUAGUUUUUAUACUUCUACACUUAUUACCUUAUUGUUUGUGUAAUUAUUGAUUCUCGUGUUUUAUCAAGGUGUUUUUUCAACAUUAACCCAGAGAAGGGAACAAAAGUUGAAAAAACUGAAAAGAAGACAUCGCAUGUCAACCCAAGAGUGCUCACCCUCAUUGCAGAACGGUCUGAUCAUGAGUGGCGAGAGACCAUUUAAAGACAUGUUGAACUGAUGGGUUCAGUCAGACUGGGAACUAUAUUCUGUAUUAUUUGUAUUCUUUCAUGUUAUCUGUUAUCCCAACUGAUGAGAACUAUUUCAUGUUUUUUGUUGUUACAUGAAUGUUUUUCAGAGGUUUUGCUUUCUGUUCUUUGAAACAAUGGAUUCAAAUAACAGAAAUUUAGAGACAUUUGUUGUUUAAAGCAGUUUAUACUUUAUCUGACCUAUUGCUAUUGAUAACUUUAUUCUUGCUGUUUUCAUUGCGGUCAUAUUUUUUACACUAAAGUGUUUAAACUGUUUAAAUUUUAUUUUGUCUUCACAAUGUAUGGGCUGAAAUCUGUUCCACUAGAAACUGAAUGUAAUCAUUACAUCGAGAUUGAAAAUCAUGAUCUGAAAUUCAAUAUUAGGUUUUGAAAUAAAAUCUGUAUUGUGUGAACUGAAAUUGAAUUUAGUAUUUUUGACUUGAAGGAAUAUAGAGAGUAGAAUUUUUCAAGGUGGUUAAAUCCAAUUUCAAAGCAAAAAAUUCAAUUUCAGAUCACACUUUUCAAAUUAAAUAUAAUAAUUCUCAUUUAGUUUCUAGUGGCACAAAUCUCAGCCCAUAAUAAUGAGUGUUGUAUUCCUGUCCCUUCAGGCGUUGCAUUGAAAAUGCUCUGUACAUUUAAGUGACUAAAGUCGGGAGACACGAUAAGGUGGUUUUACUGAAUUAAAUUAAGGCUAAGGUUUUAAGAGGACGGUAUACCCGUUAAUAUUAUCUGUAAAUUUGUUAUUGGUAAACUUGUUGUGAAGUGUUUUCAAAUAGCACCAGCAUUUUGUAGCAGUAAGGUUCUACAAAGUGUACUUGCUUAUUGUGCAUAUUGGCUUGAUCACUUAAGUGAGGUCAUAACUUUGCCAUUUUAUUGUUUUGUCAUUUAUAUUUUGAGGCAUUUAUUUAUUUUCUUUUUUUUUUUUUUUUUGAAAAUGCGAUUUUCUCUUUUACAAUAAUUGAAUCAAUAUGUAGAGCUUUAACAGUUUUGGAUUUCUUUUAUAUAAUGCUAGGAGAAGCUUUAAAAUGUUUUGCUUUUAUUCCUUUGAAACCGUUUACUUGAGUACCAGGGAAAGGUCAAAUACAUUCGAGACAAUAAAACUGUCAGUGAAGGACAUUUGAAAUUGUUUUUUCAGUGGUUUUCUGACACAUUGACAUAAAAGUAGGUUUAAGGACGGUGACACAGCUAAGACCUGAAAGUCUCUUCGAGGUUAGUAAAGUAAGCACAGAUCUUUGAUAUUUUAAAUAUUUAUCGGCUGUCUAAAUCUUAUUUGAUCUUUUCUUAUGAACAGAAAGUUAAGUCUUAUUCCUGCCCUUUUCAAGCCCUGAAUUUGAACUGCAACCUCAAGGAACCAAUUUCAAAAAAAUGUCUUCUCCCUCUCUGUGCAAUUUAGGUCUGCUUUUGUGAACAGCAUCAGAAGAGAAUGACAGGCAAACCAGUGUCAAGAAUAUGAUCAAUGAAAAUGUGCUGAAGACAGAAUCAAACCUUGGCUGGAAAGUUUUGAAUGGAUCUUGCCAAUUCAGAGGGAAACCUUUAUUGUCAACCUGAGUCUUCAUGGAGAGAUGAUGGCAUUUUUCAGGUUUCCCUAAACGUCCCACUAUUUCUGUAUGAGACUCGCCUGUCUUCCGUCAUGUAUGCACCUAGAGAUUCAAUAAGAGAGAGGAUUCUAUCAGUCCAAAGUGACCAUCCGAUGGACAGCAUUUGAGUCCUUCAGCGGAGCUUGUAUCUUCGAUAACUGCAUUUAAAACUCCACUGUUUUGAGUGCUUUCUUCUACCAAAGCUAGACUCAGUGACUCAUUACCCUUGAUCAUUUAGGGGCAAGUAACUAUUUGUUUCAUGUUUGUUUAUUCCACUAUUACAGUCAUGGAUGCUGUAUUGUCAAGAUUUGUGCUGCUUUUUGAGCAUAUAGACAAUUAAUAUGAUCCUUUUAGUCUUUUCAUAGAUUGUAUGUAAAAUGUUCUUAUCAGUGAUAAUUAGUACCAUGGUUAAAUAUGGGCAGAUUUGCUAAAGUAAAAUGUAUGCCAAACCACUUAUGUUCUACAUGUAUUGUUCUGUAUUUUUUGCAUUAAAAUAAUGGCAGCUGUGGUUGCCAGGAAUUUACCGUGAAAUUUAAUUGGUCAAAAUAAAUGUUGUAAUUUGUUA